rnacentral:rRNA from 1 species
UGGGGAAUAUUGCACAAUGGGCGCAAGCCUGAUGCAGCCAUGCCGCGUGUGUGAAGAAGGCCUUCGGGUUGUAAAGCACUUUCAGCGAGGAGGAAGGGUUCAGUGUUAAUAGCACUGUUCAUUGACGUUACUCGCAGAAGAAGCACCGGCUAACUCCGUGCCAGCAGCCGCGGUAAUACGGAGGGUGCAAGCGUUAAUCGGAAUUACUGGGCGUAAAGCGCACGCAGGCGGUUUGUUAAGUCAGAUGUGAAAUCCCCGCGCUUAACGUGGGAACUGCAUUUGAAACUGGCAAGCUAGAGUCUUGUAGAGGGGGGUAGAAUUCCAGGUGUAGCGGUGAAAUGCGUAGAGAUCUGGAGGAAUACCGGUGGCGAAGGCGGCCCCCUGGACAAAAGACUGACGCUCAGGUGCGAAA